GAGGGUGUAGCUCAGUGUUAGAGUACGUGCCUAAUACGCACGAAGUCCUGGGUUCAAUCCUUGUUCCUCCA
rnacentral:tRNA from 1 species